rnacentral:snRNA from 1 species
GGAUGUGGGGACGAUCUGGCUGCAACACCUGUCACCCCAUUGAUCUCCAGGGUUGAUUCGGCUGAUCUGGUGUCCCCUUCCUCCCUCGGUGCUCCGUGUGCGUCCCUCUCGAAGCUGCACACUCGGUGGAAGAGGCCAAUCACCUCCCCCCGUUGAGGAGGACCGUUCCUCGGUCAAGGGUAGACGAGUGUCUGUGCGCCCCUGCUCUACUUAUAAGCUCUCGAGCUUUUGUAAUUAGUUACCUUCCAGAGGCAGGAUAAGUAGGUUCAUGUAACAAGACAACAUCAACAGUAGAACUGAGGUCCAUUUU